UGGCUCAGCAUUACGCUAGCGACAGGCCUAACACAUGCAAGUCGAGGGGCAUCGGGGCGAGGAGCAAUCCUUGCCGCCGGCGACCGGCGCACGGGUGAGUAACGCGUAUGCGACCUGCCCGUUGCAGGGGGAUAAUCGGGAGAAAUCCCGUCUAAUACCGCGUAACGCCGCGGGGCUGCGUGGCCCUGCGGCCAAAGGGAGCGAUUCCGGCAACGGAUGGGCAUGCGUGACAUUAGCUAGUUGGCGGGGCAACGGCCCACCAAGGCGACGAUGUCUAGGGGUUCUGAGAGGAAGGUCCCCCACACUGGUGCUGAGACACGGACCAGACUCCUACGGGAGGCAGCAGUGAGGAAUAUUGGUCAAUGGGCGCGAGCCUGAACCAGCCAAGUCGCGUGAGGGAUGACGGCCCUACGGGUUGCAAACCUCUUUUGUCGGGGAGCAAAUUCCGCCACGUGUGGCGGAGUCGAGAGUACCCGAAGAAAAAGCAUCGGCUAACUCCGUGCCAGCAGCCGCGGUAAUACGGAGGAUGCGAGCGUUAUCCGGAUUUAUUGGGUUUAAAGGGUGCGUAGGCGGACUGUCAAGUCAGCGGUAAAAUACGGGGGCUCAACCUCCGCCCGCCGUUGAAACUGACGGUCUUGAGUGGGCGAGAAGUAUGCGGAAUGCGUGGUGUAGCGGUGAAAUGCAUAGAUAUCACGCAGAACUCCGAUUGCGAAGGCAGCAUACCGGCGCCCAACUGACGCUGAAGCACGAAAGCGUGGGUAUCGAACAGGAUUAGAUACCCUGGUAGUCCACGCAGUAAACGAUGAAUACUAGCUGUCCGGGGCGAAUGAGCCCUGGGUGGCACAGCGAAAGCGUUAAGUAUUCCACCUGGGGAGUACGCCGGCAACGGUGAAACUCAAAGGAAUUGACGGGGGCCCGCACAAGCGGAGGAACAUGUGGUUUAAUUCGAUGAUACGCGAGGAACCUUACCCGGGCUCAAACGACACAGGAACGUACCUGAAAGGGUUCGGCUCUACGGAGCCUGUGUCGAGGUGCUGCAUGGUUGUCGUCAGCUCGUGCCGUGAGGUGUCGGCUUAAGUGCCAUAACGAGCGCAACCCCCAUCGACAGUUGCUAACAGGUUAGGCUGAGGACUCUGUCGAGACUGCCGGCGCAAGCUGCGAGGAAGGCGGGGAUGACGUCAAAUCAGCACGGCCCUUACGUCCGGGGCGACACACGUGUUACAAUGGCAGGUACAGCGGGAAGCCACCUGGCGACAGGGAGCGGAACCCGAAAGCCUGUCUCAGUUCGGAUUGGAGUCUGCCACCCGACUCCAUGAAGCUGGAUUCGCUAGUAAUCGCGCAUCAGCCACGGCGCGGUGAAUACGUUCCCGGGCCUUGUACACACCGCCCGUCAAGCCAUGGAAGCCGGGGGUGCCUGAAGUGCGCUGCCGCGAGGAGCGCCCUAGGGUAAAACCGGUGACUGGGGCUAAGUCGUAACAAGGUA
rnacentral:rRNA from 1 species